rnacentral:rRNA from 1 species
CCUACGGGCGGCAGCAGUGGGGAAUAUUGCACAAUGGGCGCAAGCCUGAUGCAGCCAUGCCGCGUGUAUGAAGAAGGCCUUCGGGUUGUAAAGUACUUUCAGCGGGGAGGAAGGCGAUAAGGUUAAUAACCUUGUUGAUUGACAUUACCCGCAGAAGAAGCACCGGCUAACUCCGUGCCAGCAGCCGCGGUAAUACGGAGGGUGCAAGCGUUAAUCGGAAAUACUGGGCGUAAAGCGCACGCAGGCGGUCUGUCAAGUCGGAUGUGAAAUCCCCGGGCUCAACCUGGGAACUGCAUUCGAAACUGGCAGGCUAGAGUCUUGUAGAAGGGGGUAGAAUUCCAGGUGUAGCGGUGAAAUGCGUGGAGAUCUGGAGGAAUACCGGUGGCGAAGGCGGCCCCCUGGACAAAGACUGACGCUCAGGUGCGAAAGCGUGGGGAGCAAACAGGAUUAGAUACCCGUGUAGUC